rnacentral:rRNA from 1 species
GACGAACGCUGGCGGCGUGCCUAACACAUGCAAGUCGUGCGAGAAAGUUCCUUCGGGAGCGAGUAAAAGCGGCGCACGGGUGAGUAACACGUAGGUAACCUGCCCCCCAGUCUGGAACAACUAGAGGAAACUCUAGCUAAUGCCGGAUGAGACCACGAUCCCUUCGGGGGUUGCGGCCAAAGAUGGCCUCUACUUGUAAGCUAUCGCUGAGGGAUGGGCCUGCGGGCCAUUAGCUUGUUGGUGAGGUAACGGCUCACCAAGGCUGUGAUGGCUAGCUGGUCUGAGAGGAUGACCAGCCACACUGGGACUGAGACACGGCCCAGACUCCUACGGGAGGCAGCAGUGGGGAAUAUUGCGCAAUGGGCGAAAGCCUGACGCAGCGACGCCGCGU